rnacentral:lncRNA from 1 species
GCCAUUUCCUGCCCCAGGGGAUCUUCCUGACCCAGGGAUCGAAGCCCAGUCUCUUGUAUCCACUGCCUCGGCAAGCGGAUUCUUUGAGGAACUGCUCUGUACCUGUGGGGAGCCAGUGAAACUCUUCAACUAGGAAAAGCAUGAGGUCAUGGGUCCCAAUCCCCUGAGGCAUGGUUUGCUUCCUUCGCUUCUGAGGCCAAGGACUCUGACCAGAGGGGCUGCUGGGAAAGUAAUGUCAUCUAUUCCCCCAUCAAUCUC